rnacentral:rRNA from 1 species
UGCGAGGUUAAGAUGAAGAGUCGGAGCCGUAGCGAAAGCGAGUCUGAAUAGGGCGAUAGUUAUUAUUAAUAGACCCGAAGCGGUAUGAGCUAGACAUGGGCAGGUUGAAGGCAUAGGAAACUAUGCUGGAGGACCGAACGGGUUGGUGCUGCAAAACCUUCCGAUGACCUGUGUUUAGGAGUGAAAAGCUCAUCGAAUACCGUGAUAGCUGGUUCUCUCCGAAAUGCAUUUAGGUGCAGCCUGUAUUUUAAGGUCUUGAAGAGGUAGAGCUCUGGAAAGGCUAGGGGGAUCGAGAGAUCUUACCAAACCUUACUAAACUUCGAAUGCUUCAAGGAAUAUUGCAGAGUGGGACUACGGGAGCAAGUUUCGUAGUCAAAAGGAUAACAGUCCAGACUUCUGAUUAAGGUCCCUAAAGUAAUGCUAAGUGGAAAAAGAGGUGUCUUUACUUAUACAUCCAGGAGGUUUGCCUAGAAGCAGCAAUCCUUUAAAGAAAGCGUAACAGCUCACUGGACUAGUGAAGAUGCGCUGAAGAUGUAACGGGGCUAAGCAUUAUACCGAAAUCGAAGACCAGUGUAGUAAUACACUGUGUGGUAGGAGAGUGUUCUUACAGGAUGAAGCUGCAUCGUGAGGUGUGGUCGACUAGUAAGAAGUAAAAAUGCUGACAUGAGUAACGCUUAUUGAUGAAAAUUCAAUAUAUCGAAACCCUAAGGAUUCCUACGCAACGUUCAUCGUCGUAGGGUUAGUCGGGGCCUAAGGCUUAUCCAGAAGUGGAGAGUCGAUGGAUAACUGGUUAAUAUUCCAGUACUUAUAUAAAGAGUGAUGGAGUGACGCAUUGAGAUUUGUGAGAGCUUAUUAAGGAUUUAAGUCGAAAGAACAAGGUUUUUAUAGUGUUAGCUAUAAAGGUAGUUGCAGGAAAAUCCACAGCUAUUGAUACUGAGCUUGAUCGGAAUUUGAUUCCUCGGAAUUAGAAAUUCUCAUCGUUUUGGUGCCGAGAAAAACCUCUAAACUUAAUCUAUAUGUAACCCGUACCCAGAUCAGACACUUGUGGGGUGGUAGAGAAUACUAAGAUAAUCGAGAUAACUAAUGGGUAAGGAACUUGGCAAAUUAGCGGACGUACUUUCGAAAUAAGUCCUGUCCCGAGCAAUCGGGAUCGCAGCGAAAGAGAUGGGGGGAACUGUUUAUCAAAAACACAGCUCGCUGCUAACUCGUAAGAGGAUGUAUAGCGGGUGAUGCCUGUCCAAUGCCAGAAUGUUAUGCUCUCUUGUGCAAGCUCGAGGGUUAAGCACUGGUGAAUGACGGCCGUAACUAUGACGGUCCUAAGGUAGCGAAAUUCCUUGUCAGGUAAGUUCUGACGCGCAUGAAUGGCAUAAUCAUCCCCAUGCUGUCUUACCCUUAGACUCGGUGAAAUUACAUUCCCGGUAAAAAUGCCGGGUAGUCACAGUUAGACGGAAAGACCCUGUGAAGCUUUACUGUAGAUUGAUAUUGGAUUGUAGCAUGUUUUGCUCAGUAUAGGUGGGAGGCUUUGAUGUUUCGACUUCGGUUGGGGCGGAGCCAAUAGUGAGAUACCACCCAAAAUAUGUAGCAAUACUAAUCCCUAGGUUGGGAGACAGUUUCAGUUGGACAGUUUACCUGGGGCGGGUGCCUCCUAAAAAGUAGCGGAGGCGUGCAAGGGUUUGCUUACUACGGAUGGAAACCGUGGUGAAUGUGUAUUCGCAUAAGCAAGCUUGACUGUGAGACUGACAGGUCGAACAGAUACGAAAGUAGGCGAAAGUGAUCCGGAUCUUCCGAGUGGAAGGGGAUCCGCUCAACGGAUAAAAGUUACUCCGGGGAUAACAGGCUAAUGGAAUCUAAGCGUUCACAGCGACGAUUCCGUUUGGCACCUCGAUGUCGACUCGUCGCAUCCUGGGGCUGUAGAAGGUCCCAAGGGUUGGGUUGUUCACCCAUUAAAGCGGUACGCGAGCUGGGUUCAGAACGUCGUGAGACAGUUCGGUCCC